rnacentral:rRNA from 1 species
AGAUCUGGAGGAAUACCGGUGGCGAGGCGGCCCCCUGGACAAGACUGACGCUCAGGUGCGAAAGCGUGGGGAGCAAACAGGAUUAGAUACCGUGGUAGUCCACGCUGUAAACGAUGUCGAUUUGGAGGUUGUGCCCUUGAGGCGUGGCUUCCGGAGCUAACGCGUUAAAUCGACCGCCUGGGGAGUACGGCCGCAAGGUUAAAACUCAAAUGAAUUGACGGGGGCCCGCACAAGCGGUGGAGCAUGUGGUUUAAUUCGAUGCAACGCGAAGAACCUUACCUGGUCUUGACAUCCACAGAACUUUCCAGAGAUGGAUUGGUGCCUUCGGGAACUGUGAGACAGGUGCUGCAUGGCUGUCGUCAGCUCGUGUUGUGAAAUGUUGGGUUAAGUCCCGCAACGAGCGCAACCCUUAUCCUUUGUUGCCAGCGGUUCGGCCGGGAACUCAAAGGAGACUGCCAGUGAUAAACUGGAGGAAGGUGGGGAUGACGUCAAGUCAUCAUGGCCCUUACGACCAGGGCUACACACGUGCUACAAUGGCAUAUACAAAGAGAAGCGACCUCGCGAGAGCAAGCGGACCUCAUAAAGUAUGUCGUAGUCCGGAUUGGAGUCUGCAACUCGACUCCAUGAAGUCGGAAUCGCUAGUAAUCGUAGAUCAGAAUGCUACGGUGAAUACGUUCCCGGGCCUUGUACACACCGCCCGUCACACCAUGGGAGUGGGUUGCAAAAGAAGUAGGUAGCUUAACCUUCGGGAGGGCGCUUACCACUUUGUGAUUCAUGACUGGGGUGAAGUCGUAACAAGGUAA